UUUUGUUUGUGUAAAAGACUUUUAACGUAAAUGUACUUUUAUCAAUUUUAACAAGUCAUUUAUCCUUUGUAAUAUUCACAGUAGAAUCACUAAGAAAUUUUUAAUUAGUAAAGAUUAAUUUUCUUUUAAAUGCCGUUACUUAUUUAGCCAUAUUUUAGUAUUUUAUUUUUAUAAUUGUGCGAAACGCGAAUAAAUUUACUAAUUAAAUAAAUUUAUGACCACCCAACAUAUAUUUAGCAAGAACUAAAUAAGUCAAUACAAGCAGAAAGAAACUCAUCAAAAACUUCAUUUUUAUUAGCUCACGAAAGUACAUUCACGAACUGUCGCAAAUUAGGAUACAUUAGACCCAAUACAGAUCGCAUGGUCAUCUUUUAUUUUUGUUUAUUUUCUCCUAUUUUCUUUUUCCUCUGCAACUAAUGCCAUUGGUACCUCUAGCUCAAAUCUCAGAAAUACUUAUCACAAUUCCCUUUACCUGUCACGCAGAGAAAUGGAACACGAGUAAAAAGAAGAAACACACAAAAGAAUGAAACUGACAUGAAUAAAUUCUAUCUUCCGAAAAGAACAAAAACCACAACUCGAGAUGAAGGGAGAAUCGAAAAUUUUGACUUUAACACUAAGCAUCAAAUUGUAAUGUUUAUUUAUAUAUAGAAAUAAAGAACAUUAUAUUAGGGUUUUUUUUGGUUUUUUUUUUGGAUAGCAUAUUCUUGGAAACAAGUAAUGCUAAACGAGCACUCCAUGUAAUCCUAACUCUGUCGAUUUAGCGCUUUCAAUAGUGAAUUAGCUAGAGCUUUUGUCAGAACAGCCAAAAAUAUUUAUGCAUUUCAGAUUCCUAACAUACUAUUCCCUCAAACUGAUUAAACGACUUUUUCUAUCGAGCUUUUGACAUUUGAUCAUCUCAAAUGUUAAUAAUGCAGUACCACACAUGAUAUAGCAGUGUACCAUAAUAUCCAUUAAAGAUGAUUAACACAAAUGACCAAGAUAUCUUUAGCAAAUAAGUAAAUACAGAUUAAAUGAUAAACUAUAUAUGUCCAAAAUUGUGUUAGUCUUGUCCCGUGGAAAACAUGGUAGGUUUAUAAUAGUUGACAGCAGCACUAAAAAAAGUCACAUUUAUCAAUAAAGGAAUAAAGAAAUAAAAAAAUAUAUUACGUAGGAGUUGACAGAAUCAAAUAAAAAAGUUAAAUAAACUAACGAUUCAAAAAUAUUAAGAAAUAUAAAAGAAGAUACCAGGAGUAGAGGAAAAUGUGGGAGGAUCAGAUCGAAUCUAAUCACUGUCGCUACCACUGCUGCUGCUGCUGCUAUCAUCGUCAUGCUUCUUCUCCUUCUUGUCUUUCUUGUCCUUGUUCUUCUUUUUCUUCUCCUCCCCGUCCUUGUGAUCUUCUCCAUGGAGCUUCUCCUUGAUCUUCUCCCUGUGUCCUUCGCCCUUCUCCUUCAUCUUCUCCUUGUGCUCCUCGCCCUUCUUUUCUGAAUCCUUGUGGUCUCCCAUGUGGAGUUUCUCCUCUAUCUUGUGCACUAUUCCUGACAUUUUUUCUUACACGUAUAUUUCACUUUAAUAAGUUUGAUCAAAAUUGAUAUUGGAGUGAGGAUAAUGGUGAGCGAGGUAUGUAUUUAUAGGGAAACGAAGGAAGCUCUCGAUGCUUUACGUGUAUGU
rnacentral:lncRNA from 1 species